CAAAGGAAGCGAUUCCGGCGGGGGAUGGGCAUGCGGCGCAUUAGCUAGUCGGCGGGGUAACGGCCCACCGAGGCGACGAUGCGUAGGGGUUCUGAGAGGAAGGUCCCCCACACUGGUACUGAGACACGGACCAGACUCCUACGGGAGGCAGCAGUGAGGAAUAUUGGUCAAUGGGCGGGAGCCUGAACCAGCCAAGUCGCGUGAGGGAAGACGGUCCUAUGGAUUGUAAACCUCUUUUGCCGGGGAGCAACGGGGUCCUUGCGAGGGCCUAAUGAGAGUACCCGGAGAAAAAGCAUCGGCUAACUCCGUGCCAGCAGCCGCGGUAAUACGGAGGAUGCGAGCGUUAUCCGGAUUUAUUGGGUUUAAAGGGUGCGUAGGCGGGCUGUUAAGUCAGCGGUCAAAUGUCGGGGCUCAACCCCGGCCUGCCGUUGAAACUGGUGGCCUCGAGUGGGCGAGAAGUAUGCGGAAUGCGUGGUGUAGCGGUGAAAUGCAUAGAUAUCACGCAGAACUCCGAUUGCGAAGGCAGCAUACCGGCGCCCGACUGACGCUGAGGCACGAAAGCGUGGGUAUCGAACAGGAUUAGAUACCCUGGUAGUCCACGCAGUAAACGAUGAAUGCUAGCUGUCCGGGGCUUCGGUCCUGG
rnacentral:rRNA from 1 species